rnacentral:rRNA from 1 species
CCUUAGUUACCAGCACGUAAUGGUGGGCACUCUAAGGAGACUGCCGGUGACAAACCGGAGGAAGGUGGGGAUGACGUCAAGUCAUCAUGGCCCUUACGGCCUGGGCUACACACGUGCUACAAUGGUCGGUACAGAGGGUUGCCAAGCCGCGAGGUGGAGCUAAUCCCAGAAAACCGAUCGUAGUCCGGAUCGCAGUCUGCAACUCGACUGCGUGAAGUCGGAAUCGC